ensembl:snRNA
GUGUUAUAUGAAAAGCAAGGUGGUUCUAGCACUCCCCUUAACAGGGACAGAAGAGGCCCAUUUGCGUUUGGUUAAGGCACUGCCACCUUCUUUGUGGCAUCUAAAUUGUUUUU